UCUCUGUCUCUGUUAUUAUAUGUACUACUCUUCGCCCAAUGGCCUCUCCCACUUAUAGCUACCCUUCUUCACUCUUGUUAUCUCUGUCAGUUCAUUCAAAAUUCAUAUAUGUAUAUAUAUUUACUCAUACACAUACAUACAUACAUACAUUUACAUACCACCUCUUAUAUAUACAUAUAUAUAUAUAACAGAUAACUGUAUGUGCAAGUUUUCAAGGUUACUAGCAGUUGCAGCAGUGUUCUCUUCUCAUAUAACAACGUUGUUCUUUCUUUUCAUCAUGACCCGUAUUUGAUUUUUUUGUAACGUUACCUUUUGUUGUUGUUUUCUCCUUAAUCUUUUUGCCAUGUAUAUAUAUAUAUAUAUGUAUAGAUAUGUAGAAGGUGAAUGGAUCAGUUUAACGGGAUAUUGGUCCGGUUCAAUAAGAAAGUCGAGUUCAGAAACUGAUUGAGUUCUGCUUUUUGAUUGAGCCGUGCCAAUAUCACGUGCCACUGUUCUUCUCUACUCAUUCUCUUUCCAUGUCCCCAUCACCCUCAUCUACAAGACAUUGAGCCAAAGAAGAGGUCUGGUUUUUGGUUCUUUUGACUCACGUAGCAUGGGUUGUUGAGUUGCCUCGAGGUCACUAUGCUCCGUUUGUUAGAGCAUAACAAUAUUGUAUUGUGUACUCUUUUUUAUUUUAUUUUUCUGAAGUGACUUGAUAUUAAGAAAGAUUACAGUACAGAUUGAGCCAUUGUAAACCAAGCUGUAAUGCAUUAAAAAUAUACCAAGUUAUAUAUGUAAUACUUAUAAUGUACAUGGUGUUUGUUUUGUUCUUUUAACAAGUUUAGUUUCUGGCUAUGUAGCUA